rnacentral:rRNA from 1 species
ACUCAAAGGAAUUGACGGGGGCCCGCACAAGCGGUGGAGCAUGUGGUUUAAUUCGAUGCAACGCGAAGAACCUUACCUACCCUUGACAUACAGUAGAUUUUUCAGAGAUGAAGAAGUGCCUUCGGGAAUACUGAUACAGGUGCUGCAUGGCUGUCGUCAGCUCGUGUCGUGAGAUGUUGGGUUAAGUCCCGUAACGAGCGCAACCCUUGUUCUUAGUUACCAACGCGUAAUGGCGGGGACUCUAAGAAGACUGCCGGUGACAAAUCGGAGGAAGGCGGGGACGACGUCAAGUCAUCAUGGCCCUUACGGGUAGGGCUACACACGUGCUACAAUGGCCGGUACAGAGGGGAGCGAGAGCGAGAGUUUAAGCGAAUCUUAGAAAGCCGGUCGUAGUCCGGAUUGAAGUCUGCAACUCGACUUCAUGAAGUUGGAAUCGCUAGUAAUCGCAAAUCAGCAUGUUGCGGUGAAUACGUUCCCGGGCCUUGUACACACCGCCCGU